GUGGCAGUCUUCCAGUAUGGGGAGCAAAACAGCUAUGGGUCAAGUCCGAUAUCUUUAGGAGAAGUCUUAUUGUGAGGGCGAGUUAUAUAACACCAUAGGACUGGCCGUCCCAUAUGAAAAGAUUAUAUUAGAAUUGAAUGAAGCUUUGUUUAUAUAUUGAUAAUGACAGUAUAUAUAUCGUGUCUUGACUAAUUGCGUGCCAGCAGUCGCGGUAAUACGUAAGAGACUAGUGUUAUUCAUCUUAAUUAGGUUUAAAGGGUACCCAGACGGUCAAUAUAGCUUAUAAAAUGUUAGUACUUGACUAGAGUUUUAUGUAAGAGGGCAGUACUUGAGGAGGAGAGAUGAAAUUUCGUGAUACCAAAGGGACUCUGUAAAGGCGAAGGCAGCCCUCUAUGUAAAAACUGACGUUGAAGGACGAAGGCACAGAGAACAAACAGGAUUAGAUACCCAAGUAGUCUUUGCAGUAAAUGAUGAAUGCCAUAGGUUAGAUUGAUCAAUUAUAGUCUAGGGUUAGUCUAGCAAACUAAUGCCCUAUGAUAUAAUUCAAAAUAUCUGGUCUAUAAAUGAAAGUGUAAGCAUUUCACCUCAAGAGUAAUGUGGCAACGCAGGAACUGAAAUCACUAGACCGUUUCUGACACCAGUAGUGAAGUAUGUUAUUUA
rnacentral:rRNA from 1 species